GACGGAGCAACGCCGCGUGAGUGAUGAAGGUUUUCGGAUCGUAAAGCUCUGUUGUUAGGGAAGAACAAGUGCGAGAGUAACUGCUCGCACCUUGACGGUACCUAACCAGAAAGCCACGGCUAACUACGUGCCAGCAGCCGCGGUAAUACGUAGGUGGCAAGCGUUGUCCGGAAUUAUUGGGCGUAAAGGGCUCGCAGGCGGUUUCUUAAGUCUGAUGUGAAAGCCCCCGGCUCAACCGGGGAGGGUCAUUGGAAACUGGGAAACUUGAGUGCAGAAGAGGAGAGUGGAAUUCCACGUGUAGCGGUGAAAUGCGUAGAGAUGUGGAGGAACACCAGUGGCGAAGGCGACUCUCUGGUCUGUAACUGACGCUGAGGAGCGAAAGCGUGGGGAGCGAACAGGAUUAGAUACCCUGGUAGUCCACGCCGUAAACGAUGAGUGCUAAGUGUUAGGGGGUUUCCGCCCCUUAGUGCUGCAGCUAACGCAUUAAGCACUCCGCCUGG
rnacentral:rRNA from 1 species